CUGACCCAGCCUCACCAGGCCGGGCCCCUCUGCUCAGGACCAGGCCCCACCCCAGUGUCGCCCUGAGGCCUGGCAGGGGCCUCUGGAGCCCGCACACCCCUCUCCUUGGCAGCCCCCUCCAUCCUGGGCCCUCCGUCUUUCCCACAGGUGUGUCCCUCAGGGCUUUGCAGCCAGGGUGUGGCCAGCCGCAGGUUUCGGAUGCAGGAGGCCGGAUCGUGGGGGGUCACGCUGCCCCGGCCGGCGCAUGGCCAUGGCAGGCCAGCCUCCGCCUGCGGAGAGUGCACGUGUGCGGCGGGUCCCUGCUCAGCCCCCAGUGGGUGCUCACAGCUGCCCACUGCUUCUCCGGGUCCCUGAACUCAUCCGACUACCAGGUGCACCUGGGGGAACUGGAGAUCACUCUGUCUCCCCACUUCUCCACCGUGAGGCAGAUCAUCCUGCACUCCAGGCCCUCAGGACCGCCGGGGACCAGCGGGGACAUCGCCCUGGUGGAGCUCAGUGUCCCCGUGACCCUCUCCAGCCGGAUCCUGCCCGUCUGCCUCCCGGAGGCCUCGGAUGACUUCUGCCCUGGGAUCCGGUGCUGGGUGACCGGCUGGGGCUAUACGCGG
rnacentral:sRNA from 1 species